rnacentral:lncRNA from 1 species
UUUUUUUUUUUUUUUUUUUUUUUUGAGAUGGAGUCUCGCUCUGUUGCCCUGGCUGGAGUGCAGUGGCGCAAUCUCGGCUCACUGCAAGCUCCGCCUCCCGGAUCCACACCAUUCUCCUCCCUCAGCCUCCCGCGUUUCCUGACUUUUUAAUGAUCGCCAUUCUACCUGGCCUGAGAUAGUAUCUCAAUGUGGUUUUGAUUUGCAUUUCUCUAAUGACCAGUGAUGAUUAGCUUUUUUUCAUGUUUGUUGACUGCAUAAAUGUCUUCUUUUGAGAAGUGUGUGUUCAUAUCCUUCACCCACUUUUUGAUGGGGUUGUUUUAUUUUUUCUUGUAAACUUGUUUAAGUUCUUUGCAGAUUCUGGAUAUUAGCCCUUUGUCAAAAAGACUGCAAAAAUUUUCUCCCAUUCUGUAGGUUGUCUAUUCACUCUGAUGAUAGUUUCUUUUGCUGUUCAGGAGCUCUUUAGUUUAAUUAGGUCCCAUUUGUCAAUUUUGGCUUUUGUUGCCAUUGCUAUUGGUGUUUCAGUCAUGAAGACUUUGCCCAUGCCUGUCCUGAAUGGUGUUGGCUAGGUUUUCUUCUAGGGUUUUAUGGUUUUAGGUUUUAUGUUUAAAUGUUUAAUCCAUCUUGAGUUUUACAUUUAAGUCUUUAAUCUAUCUUGAGUUAAUUGUAUAAUGUGUAAGGAAGGGGUCCAGUUUCAGUUUUCUGCAUAUGGCUAGCCAGUUUUCCCAACACCAUUAUUAAAUAGGGAAUCCUUUCCCCGUUGCUUGUUUUGGUCAGGUGUGUCAAAGAUCAGGUGAUUGUAGAUGUGUGGUGUUAUUUCUGAGGACUCUAUUCUGUUCCUUUGGUCUAUAUAUCUGUAUUGGUACCAGUACCAUGCUAUUUUGCUUGUAGCCUUGUAGUAUAGUUUGAAGUCAGGUAGCAUGAUGCCUCCAGCUUUGUUCUUUUUGCUUAAGAUUUUCUUGGCUAUAUAGGCUCUUUUUUGGUUCUGCAUAAAAUUUAAAGUAGUUUUUUCCAAUUCUGUGAAGAAAGUCAAUGGUAGCUUGAUGGGGAUACCAUUGAAUCUAUAAAUUAUUUUGGCAGUAUAGCCAUUUUCAUGAUAUUGAUUUUUCCUAUCCAUGAGCAUGGAAUGUUUUUCCAUUUGUUUGUGUCCUCUCUUAUUUCCUUGAGCAAUGGUUUGUAGUUCUUGAAGAGGUCCUCCACAUCCCUUAUAAGUUGUAUUCCUAGGUAUUUUACUCUCUGUGUAGCAAUUGUGAAUGGGAGUUCACUCACGAUUUGGCUGUUUCUCUAUUAUUGGUGUAUAGGAAUGCUUGUGAUUUUUGCCCAUCGAUUUUGUAUCCUGAGACUUUGCUGAAGUUGCUUAUCAGCUUAAGGAGAUCUUGGGCUGAGGCAAUGGUGUUUUCUAAAUAUACAAUUAUGUCAUAUGCAAACAGAGACAAUUUGACUUCCUCUCUUCCUAUUUGAAUUUCCUUUAUUUAUUUCUCUUGCCUGAUUGCCUUGGCCAGAACUUCCAAUACCAUGUUGAAUAAGAGUGGUAAGAGAGGGC